GGAUCAUUGUCGCCACCUGCUCAGGCAGAACAACUUGUGAACAUGUAAUCGCAACUUACGAACUAAGGGCAUGUCUCAUUUGGCAGGUUGCCCUUUGUUCCCAAUGUCAAGGCCUCUCGGUAAUAACGUAGCCCAUCGAUGCCAGUCGUUUGAGCUGCGUUUUCCGGGUUGACUUGAUAAAACAAAAAACCGGCGUGAAAUGCGCCAAGGAACUUAAAAGAAUGUGCAUCCAUCCUGUGUUUGCUUAUGCAACAUUUCGGAAGGAUGUCAUCUUCUUGAUGUCUUUAAUGACUCUCGGCAACGGAUAUCUCGGCUCUUACAUCGAUGAAGAACGUAGCGAAAUGCGAUACUUGGUGUGAAUUGCAGAAUCCCGUGAACCAUCGAGUCUUUGAACGCAAGUUGCGCCCGAAUCCAUCCGGUCGAGGGCACGUCUGCCUGGGUGUCACGUACACAUGUCUCCACUAUCCCUCUCCUUUUAAGGACUGACGGGACCUGUGCGAGCAGAGAUUGGUAUCCCGUAUUUCAAAUCGUGCGGUUUACCUAAAAAUGAGUACCGGUGAUGAAGUUUCACGCCAAGUGGUGGUUCAUAAUCCUCAGGGAUUUUGCCAGUUUGCGUCGUGAAAGUCCAUCACUCGGAAAGCUCUAUAGACACCUUUAUCGUCUAAUUCGAUGCUAUGUUGCGAGCCCA
rnacentral:misc_RNA from 1 species